rnacentral:lncRNA from 1 species
UAUAUAUAAAAGAGUGCGGCUAAUAUGCUCAUGGAAGCACGGAGAGCUCCAUACUUUCACUUUAUUUUCGAUGUUCGGAUUUUUGAAUCGACGAUCGGCUUCGUUAGAUUUGAUCUAGAGUAUAUUUGAAGUAUCUAGAAAAUAAAUUUUACGAUUUUUCGAUAUCAUUUGCCUAGUGAUCGAAGUGGCUCAAAAUCAACAGCUGAAUAUA